UACGGGGGGGGGCAAGCGUUGUUCGGAAUUACUGGGCGUAAAGGGCUCGUAGGCGGCCAACUAAGUCAGACGUGAAAUCCCUCGGACUUCAACCGGGGACUGCGGUACUGAUACUGGAUGGGCUUGGAGUUUGGGAGAGGGGAUGGCGGAAUUCCGAGGUGUAGCGGUGAAAUGCGUAGAUAUCUGGAGGAACACCGGUGGCGAAGGCGGCGUCCUGGACCAACACUGACACUGAUGAGCGAAAGCCAGGGGAGCAAACGGGG
rnacentral:rRNA from 1 species